rnacentral:misc_RNA from 1 species
GAUGAGAACGUAGCGAAAUGCGAUAAGUAAUGCGAAUUGCAGAAUUCAGUGAGUCAUCGAAUCUUUGAACGCACAUUGCGCCCCCUGGUAUUCCGGGGGGCAUGCCUGUCCGAGCGUCAUUACAACCCUCAAGCUCAGCUUGGUGUUGGGCCCCGCCGCCCCGGCGGGCCCUAAAGUCAGUGGCGGUGCCGUCCGGCUCCGAGCGUAGUAAUUCUUCUCGCUCUGGAGGUCCGGUCGUGUGCUCGCCAGCAACCCCCAAUUUUUUUCAGGUUGACCUCGGAUCAGGUAGGGAUACCCGCUGAACUUAAGCAUAUCAAUAAGCGGAGGA